rnacentral:rRNA from 1 species
CGGUGGAGCAUGUGGCUUAAUUCGAGGCUACGCGAAGAACCUUACCUGGGCUUGACAUGUGCGAAGUAGCCCGCGGAAACGGGGCGUACUCACCGUACAGGUGUGACGAGCGAAACCCUUACCCCCAGUUGCCAGCGGGAUGUCAAGUCUCAUGGCCUUUAUGCCCAGGCUGCAUACAUGGCGUGGACAGGGGACGCGAGCCCGCGAGGGGGAGCCUCCCGGAAAGCACGCCCCAGUUCAGAUCGCAGUGCAACUCGCCUGCGUGAAGCCGGAAUCGCUAGUAAUCGGGGUCAGCAACACCGCGGUGAAUGUGUUCCUGAGCCUUGUACACAUCGCCGUCAAGCCACGAAAGGGGGGAGCGCCCGAAGCCGCCUUCACCGGCGUCGAAGCGAAACCCCUGAUUGGGACUAAGUCGUACAAGGU